rnacentral:lncRNA from 10 species
GAUACAUAUCAGACAGACUUGCUCUUUAAAGACACCAAAGUGACUGGGCACGAUGGCUUACAUAGGUAAUCCCAGCACUUUGGGAGGCUGAGGCAGGAGGAUUGCUUGAAGCCAGGGGUUCGAGACCAGCUGGAGUGACAAAGUGAGACCCCACCUCUUUCUCUUUAAAAAAAGACAGCAAAGAAUUUUAUGAUAUGGAUGCACAUCUCAAGUAUUUUAACCAUCUCUUGAAAUGUUCUUGGGCCUCAGCCUAGGCACUAUGCCUAUAGAAACUAAUGGAUAAAGCAACCCUGCUUCUUUAAAGGCCUGGAGGCAAGUGCAAUCACGUUUAAUGCUGAAUAUGGCAAACUUAUUUUCCCUGUUGAAGCCAAGUAUCUGUGUGGAGGAUUAGUUGGAUGCAUGCUUCCAAAAGAAACCAGCUGUUCUUGUAAGUAAAGGCCUGCUGAAAGAAGAAACCAACCUAUUUAGCUUGGAGAAUAUGGGGGCACAGAUUGCCUUUUCCCAUCACCUGCCAGGAACACCAUGCACUUAUUUCAUCUCAAUGCAAGAUACAAGAUCUAGGAUCCAAAACACUAUUUUCUAUCACAAAGCCAGUUCUCACACCUUUUUCAGAUCAAAUGUUCCAGCCUCUUCAGAAAAGCUUAGAAAAUAGUCUUUCUUUCACUCCCCACCAGUCUUCAUUGUGACAUAUGUUGCAUAUCAUAACCCUUGGUACUGGAUGAAAGCUCCCAAUCUGAAUCAAGAACAGGUAAAGGUAAACAAAAAAUUGAGGCUAAAAGAAUCACUUAACCUGAACCACAUGGUAGGAAAAGCAUGCUAGAAUGGAAUAUCCAACCGGCUAUGGACAUUGUUUUUGGCAGACAAAUGAAUGGCCCCAUUAUAAAGGCAUCAGGGUUGGUGUAUUGUCCAACUCUAGGGGGCAACAUUGAAUUGUAUCCUAUCGUUAUGGUGCUCCCUGGAGUUCUGUAAACACAUAGGUCUGAGAGUGAUUAUCACAUGCCUAUCUUAUCCAGGGAAAUAAGGAGCAAAAUGGCCCAGAAGAAGAGAAAGAACAUUCUACCAAGUCACACGUAACCUACCAACAGUCCACAACUGCAAUUGAUUUCAUGCCCAACUCUUGCUACACCUAAGAUUUGCAUAACUUAGUACUGGGGAGGUUUUGGGGGAAACCAGAAUUCCACCUCUGAAGCCAAGCCAAAUCUUCAGUGACUGGAGACUGGGAAAGCUGCCUUUUUCAAAUUUAGUUUGUCUUUCCCAAUAGCACUUAAAGGACAAACGUGUUCUGUUCUGCAUCUUUGGAACUCACUAUUCAUGGUUAAGUCAUUGCCUUUGAGACUUUAUAAGGGCUAUUGGCAGUUUAGCUUUACAGUAAAUGUAGUGUAAUUUACACAAUAAAAUGCAGUCACUUGUUUAAUUACUUACCUCACCUAUUGGGACUUUUUCUCAUCUCUCAGGUCACAGUUUUUACUUAGGGCCAUAACAAUGGGGUUGACAUUGGUAUGAAACACUUUUGAACCCCCCAGAAUGAAGACUUC